GUGGGGAAUUUUGCGCAAUGGGGGAACCCUGACGCAGCAACGCCGCGUGAGUGAUGAAGGCCUUCGGGUCGUAAAGCUCUGUCAGAGGGGAAGAAAUGCAGGGGUGCUAAUAUCAUCUUUGCUUGACGGAACCCUCAAAGGAAGCACCGGCUAACUCCGUGCCAGCAGCCGCGGUAAUACGGAGGGUGCGAGCGUUGUUCGGAAUUAUUGGGCGUAAAGCGCGUGUAGGCGGUUUGGUAAGUCUGAUGUUAAAGCCCCGGGCUCAACCUGGGAAGUGCAUUGGAAACUGUCAGACUUGAAUACGGGAGAGGGUAGUGGAAUUCCUAAUGUAGGAGUGAAAUCCGUAGAUAUUAGGAGGAACACCGGUGGCGAAGGCGGCUACCUGGACCGAUAUUGACGCUGAGACGCGAAAGCGUGGGGAGCAAACAG
rnacentral:rRNA from 1 species